AAUCUUCCGCAAUGGACGAAAGUCUGACGGAGCAACGCCGCGUGAGCGAUGAAGGCCUUCGGGUCGUAAAGCUCUGUUGUCAGGGAAGAACAAGUACCGGAGUAACUGCCGGUACCUUGACGGUACCUGACCAGAAAGCCACGGCUAACUACGUGCCAGCAGCCGCGGUAAUACGUAGGUGGCAAGCGUUGUCCGGAAUUAUUGGGCGUAAAGCGCGCGCAGGCGGUUCCUUAAGUCUGAUGUGAAAGCCCCCGGCUCAACCGGGGAGGGUCAUUGGAAACUGGGGAACUUGAGUGCAGAAGAGGAGAGCGGAGUUCCACGUGUAGCGGUGAAAUGCGUAGAGAUGUGGAGGAACACCAGUGGCGAAGGCGGCUCUCUGGUCUGUAACUGACGCUGAGGCGCGAAAGUGUGGGGAUCAAACAGG
rnacentral:rRNA from 1 species